rnacentral:rRNA from 1 species
AUUGAACGCUGGCGGCAGGCUUAACACAUGCAAGUCGAGCGGGGGAAGGUAGCUUGCUACCGGACCUAGCGGCGGACGGGUGAGUAAUGCUUAGGAAUCUGCCUAUUAGCGGGGGACAACAUCUCGAAAGGGGUGCUAAUACCGCAUACGUCCUACGGGAGAAAGCAGGGGAUCUUCGGACCUUGCGCUAAUAGAUGAGCCUAAGUCGGAUUAGCUAGUUGGUGGGGUAAAGGCCUACCAAGGCGACGAUCUGUAGCGGGUCUGAGAGGAUGAACCGCCACACUGGGACGGAGACACGGCCCAGACUCCUACGGGAGGCAGCAGUGGGGAAUAUUGGACAAUGGGGGGAACCCUGAUCCAGCCAUGCCGCGUGUGUGAAGAAGGACUUAUGGUUGUAAAGCACUUUAAGCGAGGAGGAGGCUACUUUAGUUAAUACCUAGAGAUAGUGGACGUUACUCGCAGAAUAAGCACCGGCUAACUCUGUGCCAGCCGCCGCGGUAA